UACGGAGGGGGCGAGCGUUAUUCGGAAUCAUUGGGCGUAAAGGGCGCGUAGGCGGCCCCGUAAGUCUUGGGUGAAAGCCCUCGGCUCAACCGAGGAAUUGCCUUGGAUACUGCGGGGCUCGAGGCUGGAAGAGGGCAGUGGAAUUCCCGGUGUAGCGGUGAAAUGCGUAGAUAUCAGGAGGAACACCGAUGGCGAAGGCAGGUCUCUGGGCCACUACUGACGCUGAGAAGCGAAAGCAUGGGGAGCGAACAGG
rnacentral:rRNA from 1 species